UACGAAGGGGGCUAGCGUUGCUCGGAAUGACUGGGCGUAAAGGGCGCGUAGGCGGAUGGUACAGUCAGAUGUGAAAUUCCUGGGCUCAACCUGGGGGCUGCAUUUGAUACGUAUUGUCUUGAGUUCGGAAGAGGGUCGUGGAAUUCCCAGUGUAGAGGUGAAAUUCGUAGAUAUUGGGAAGAACACCGGUGGCGAAGGCGGCGACCUGGUCCGAUACUGACGCUGAGGCGCGAAAGCGUGGGGAGCAAACAGG
rnacentral:rRNA from 1 species